UUGCUUGGCGACCAUAGCGAGAUGGAACCACCCGAUCCCUUACCGAACUCGGAAGUGAAACGUCUUAGCGCCAAUGGUAGUGUAGGGUUUCCUUAUGCGAGAGUAGGUCAUCGCCAAGC
rnacentral:rRNA from 1 species